GAGUUUGAUCUUGGCUCAGGAUGAACGCUGGCGGCAUGCCUAAUACAUGCAAGUCGAACGAGAGGAAGGAAAGCUUGCUUUCCUGAAUCUAGUGGCGAACGGGUGAGUAACACGUAGGUAACCUGCCCAUGUGCCCGGGAUAACUUCUGGAAACGGAUGCUAAAACCGGAUAGGUAGCAGACAAGCAUUUGACUGCUAUUAAAGUGGCCUUGGCCAUGAACAUGGAUGGACCUGCGGUGCAUUAGCUGGUUGGUGAGGUAACGGCCCACCAAGGCGACGAUGCAUAGCCGGCCUGAGAGGGCGGACGGCCACAUUGGGACUGAGACACGGCCCAAACUCCUACGGGAGGCAGCAGUAGGGAAUUUUCGUCAAUGGGGGGAACCCUGAACGAGCAAUGCCGCGUGAGUGAGGAAGGUCUUCGGAUCGUAAACUCCUGUCGUUAGGGACGAUAAUGACGGUACCUAACAAGAAAGCACCGGCUAACUACGU
rnacentral:rRNA from 1 species